rnacentral:rRNA from 1 species
GACGAACGCUGGCGGCGUGCUUAACACAUGCAAGUCGAGCGGAGCGGCGAACGGGUGAGUAACGCGUGAGUAACUGCCCCCCUCCCUGGGAUAACAGUUGGAAACGGCUGCUAAUACCGGAUCGUGGGGGAUGACUCGCGUCCUAUCCGCUUGUUGGUGGGGUAGUGGCCUACGAAGGCGACGACGGGUAGCCGGCCUGAGAGGGAGACCGGCCACAGUGGGCUGAGAUACGGGCCAAACUCCUACGGGGGGCAGCAGUGGGGAAUAUUGCACAAUGGGGGAAACCCUGAUGCAGGAAUGCGCGUGUGGGAGGACGGACUUCGGGUUGUAAACCGCUUUCAGCCAUGACGCGGUAGGGGCAGAAGAAGCACCGGCUAACUACGUGCCAGCAGCCGCGGUAAUAC